ensembl:lncRNA
CGCAUACUAGUGAGAAAUACUUAACAUUCCAAAAUCCAUUCUACUCUCUUUGCAUGGCCAUAAAUGUUAAUUUAUGUUAUGACAACUAGCCAUAUUUCUAAUUAUGUGGUGGUCAGCUGAUAUAGCCUAUAAUAGGUGCAUAUCAAGGCAAGAUUGAAGAGGCAUAAAAUAUAUAUUUACAUUUUAGUUUUACUGAGGAGGAAAUCAAUUUCUCAGAUUUCCUUUUUCUUCUUCAUAACUUAAAGGACAAUAAGCAUUGGCACAGAUCAACCAAGCGGUGCUAAUGGGGAUGUGAAGGGAAAGAGAGUGAUUGUUGAGAUCAUAAUUCCUGUAGGGUUCUAGGGGAUGAGAUCACCUAAUGCAAUAGACAACACACUGUUGACCUAAUCUUCAAUACUGCCAAAGGAAGUAAGACUUAUAAGGUAAUGAAUAGACAGAACUGAACCUUCCUUUGGGACAGAGGUGCAAGGCCAAUUACGGAACAAGGCAUAUUUCAGACAACUGAGGGACAGCGCUCACAGCUCUAGCAGGGUAGAGCUGGAAAGGAAUCAACAAGUGUCAGUUUGGCUCUCUGAAGCAUUGCGUUUUUGAUGGAGUGAUUGAGCUUAAUGCUCUUACAAAGAUCUUACACAUUUAGACUUUCCUCUUGACAUUAGACAAAAAGUAAGGUUUGUGACCCAGUCAAUCUAGAAGCAUUUAUUGAGUGGACUAAAAAAAGUUUAGCAUUGUAGAAGCAAAAUGAUAGCUAUGAAGAACUGUCAAAACAUGCUUUGUAAUGAGGAGACUUACUCCAUUUUUUGAUGUCUGACUGUUGAUAGAUUUUUCAGCCUCACCCCUCUGAUUUUCCUUGUAGCAACAUCUGUAUAAGCUCAUUAAAAAAAAAACCUGGGUGCUUUUCCUUUGGCGCCAGUGAAACAUUCAACCCAUGAAAACCCCUACUCAUAUGCAAUGCUCACCCUGAUCCCACCCUGAAUCCUAAUGGAGACCCAAGCCAGUCACCUUUCCUGGCCCUUGAAACCAUUUCUGACCUGCAUGAGAGGCCUUCCCUGCUCUCCCAGAGACCUCAAUUAUAUGUGGAAACAGUGAGUUCAGUUAUGCAGUCCUGGGCUGUGUGGGGAUGCAGCUUAGCACACUGUGAUGAAAAUAACCUGGUGACCAUCAAGCUGAAUCUGCCUGCAAUCAACUUUUGUAUGACUCAUAACAUGUGAAAAAUUGAAUUUGUUUUUUUAAAUACAGAUCUAACAAUAUCAGGCUUACAUGUCUAAACGUCAGUUAUUGGCUGGAGCUGAGUUGUAAUAGCCUUAUUUAUUUGUCAAGUUUACCAAAUGGUAUAUAUUAUUAGAAGUCAAUAUAAUUUGAAAUUUUUUAUAGGUAUAAAGGAAAAUGUUUA